AGCUCGAUGGUGUAGUUGGUUAUCACAUCUGUCUAACAUCCGACUGUUGGAUGAUUAUGCACAGAAGGUCCUCAGGUCAAACCUAAGUCAAAUCA